AUCAACUGAUUUUUUAUCAGUGAGACAUAUUUUUCUACAUAAAAAGCCUGCAUCUAUUGCUCAUUACAGGUUCUACUAGCUGCACCAGAUCAGAUGUUGACCCUAUAAAGACAAAUACACCAAUAGAUUUACACCACCAAGCAAAUUAUACAUCAAACUGGUUGCUGACCUAUCCACACGAGAAUUUGUACAACCUUGAAUAUGGUACCAUUCCUGCUCUGGAGAAUAGAUCAUCUGAGAUAAGAGCUUCAUCCUUGAAACAUGAAUUUACUGAUGGUUAUCCAAAGGAUAGUGGCAGUGAGGUGUACAGUAAUGCCACAGUAACAAGCAUUAUGGAUAAUAUUAGUUUUAUUGCUACAAGUGUUAGUCCUACUACAACUAUUAUGACUGCUAGACCUACAUUUGCUACUAAUACUGCUACAACUACUACAUCUCCUCCUACUGCUGCUACUACUACAACUACUAAUAAUGAUGAUGUUGAUUGUAGCAUUCUCAAUGGAAAUGACAAUUUACAAAAGCCUAAAAUACAGUAUGAGACCAUACAAUUAGGGUUACAUGAAGAAGGAGAACCAACAUUCACAACCAUAAAAUCAAAUGGUAAGAUGUUACCAUGAAUCAAUUCUUUAAGAGAUCAAAACAAAAUAUUUUUCCCCAAUAAAUGGUCAGU